rfam:Salmo salar isolate Sally breed double haploid chromosome ssa28, whole genome shotgun sequence.
UGUAUUCACUACUGUAAGUUGCUCUGGAUAAGAGUGUCUGCUAAGUGACUAAAA